CUCAGGACGAACGCUGGCGGCGCGCCUAACACAUGCAAGUCGAACGAGAGAGAGGGAGCUUGCUUCCUCAAUCGAGUGGCGAACGGGUGAGUAACGCGUGAGGAACCUGCCUCAAAGAGGGGGACAACAGUUGGAAACGACUGCUAAUACCGCAUAAGCCCACGGCUCGGCAUCGAGCAGAGGGAAAAGGAGUGAUCCGCUUUGAGAUGGCCUCGCGUCCGAUUAGCUGGUUGGUGAGGUAACGGCCCACCAAGGCGACGAUCGGUAGCCGGACUGAGAGGUUGAACGGCCACAUUGGGACUGAGACACGGCCCAGACUCCUACGGGAGGCAGCAGUGGGGAAUAUUGCACAAUGGGGGAAACCCUGAUGCAGCGACGCCGCGUGGAGGAAGAAGGUCUUCGGAUUGUAAACUCCUGUUGUUGAGGAAGAUAAUGACGGUACUCAACAAGGAAGUGACGGCUAACUACGUGCCAGCAGCCGCGGUAAAACGUAGGUCACAAGCGUUGUCCGGAAUUACUGGGUGUAAAGGGAGCGCAGGCGGGAGAACAAGUUGGAAGUGAAAUCCAUGGGCUCAACCCAUGAACUGCUUUCAAAACUGUUUUUCUUGAGUAGUGCAGAGGUAGGCGGAAUUCCCGGUGUAGCGGUGGAAUGCGUAGAUAUCGGGAGGAACACCAGUGGCGAAGGCGGCCUACUGGGCACCAACUGACGCUGAGGCUCGAAAGUGUGGGUAGCAAACAGGAUUAGAUACCCUGGUAGUCCACACCGUAAACGAUGAUUACUAGGUGUUGGAGGAUUGACCCCUUCAGUGCCGCAGUUAACACAAUAAGUAAUCCACCUGGGGAGUACGACCGCAAGGUUGAAACUCAAAGGAAUUGACGGAAG
rnacentral:rRNA from 1 species